rnacentral:lncRNA from 1 species
UUCACAGACCUGGACCACUGACUGCCUGAGGGGAGAGCAGAGACUGUGUAAAAGUGAUUUCUAGCAUAGCUAGAGCAAGUUCAUACCCCCAUUCUUUUCAUUAACUUUUUUAGGACUGCAAUUCUCAGUCCUUUCAUGUGGAUGAAGACUCAAGUCAAAUGGUAAAAGUUACAGGAGUUGAAUAGUGUAGUUAGGGGUGGUAAUUUUACUGUUC